ensembl:snRNA U6 U6 spliceosomal RNA
GUGCUUGCUUUGACAUCAUAUAUAUUCGACAGCACAUAAAGUUGGAAUGAUACAGUGAAGAUUAGCAUGGCCCCUGUACAAGGAUGACACGCAAAUUUGUGAAGUGUUCCAUAUUUUU